rnacentral:tRNA from 1 species
GCGGAGGUAGCCAAGCGGUCAAAGGCAGCAGCCUCAAGAGCUGCUCUCGCAGGAGUUCGAGGGUUCAAGUCCCUUCCUCCGCA